AGGAGUUUGGAUCCUGGGCUCAGGAUGAACGCUGGCGGCGUGCCUAAUGCAUGCAAGUCGAGCGACGCACACCGGAGGGGUAACCCACUGGUAUGACGGAGCGGCGAACGGGUGAGUAACACGUGAGUAACCUGCCCCACAGACCGGGACAGCCCAGGGAAACCUGGAUUAAUACCGGAUACCCUCGGGGGAUCGCAUGAUCUUUCGAGGAAAUGCCUUUGUGCUGUGGGAUGGACUCGCGACUUAUCAGCUAGUUGGUGGGGUAACGGCCUACCAAGGCGUCGACGAGUAGCUGGUCUGAGAGGACGAUCAGCCACACUGGGACUGAGACACGGCCCAGACUCCUACGGGAGGCAGCAGCAGGGAAUCUUGCGCAAUGGGCGAAAGCCUGACGCAGCAACGCCGCGUGGGGGAUGAAGGCCUUCGGGUUGUAAACCCCUUUCAGGAGGGAAGAAAUUGACGGUACCUCCAAAAGAAGCACCGGCCAACUACGUGCCAGCAGCCGCGGUAAUACGUAGGGUGCGAGCGUUAUCCGGAAUCAUUGGGCGUAAAGAGCUCGUAGGCGGUUCAGCAAGUCGGCUGUGAAAUUUCGAGGCUCAACCUCGAAACUGCAGUCGAAACUGCUGUGACUCGAGUCCGGUAGAGGAGAAUGGAAUUCCCGGUGUAGCGGUGAAAUGCGCAGAUAUCGGGAGGAACACCAGUAGCGAAGGCGGUUCUCUGGGCCGGCACUGACGCUGAGGAGCGAAAGCGUGGGUAGCAAACAGGAUUAGAUACCCUGGUAGUCCACGCCG
rnacentral:rRNA from 1 species